GGGUUGUGAGGUUAAGCGACUAAGCGUACACGGUGGAUGCCCUGGCAGUCAGAGGCGAUGAAGGACGUGCUAAUCUGCGAAAAGCGUCGGUAAGGUGAUAUGAACCGUUACAGCCGGCGAUGUCCGAAUGGGGAAACCCAGUGCAAUUCGUUGCACUAUCGUUAACUGAAUACAUAGGUUAACGAGGCGAACCGGGGGAACUGAAACAUCUAAGUACCCCGAGGAAAAGAAAUCAACCGAGAUUCCCCCAGUAGCGGCGAGCGAACGGGGAGCAGCCCAGAGUCUGAAUCAGCUUGUGUGUUAGUGGAACGGUCUGGAAAGUCCGACGGUACAGGGUGAUAGUCCCGUACACCAAAAUGCACAGGCUGUGAACUCGAAGAGUAGGGCGGGACACGUGGUAUCCUGUCUGAAUAUGGGGGACCAUCCUCCAAGGCUAAAUACUCCUGACUGACCGAUAGUGAACCAGUACCGUGAGGGAAAGGCGAAAAGAACCCCGGCGAGGGAGUGAAAAAGAACCUGAAACCGUGUACGUACAAGCAGUGGGAGCACCUUCGGGUGUGACUGCGUACCUUUUGUAUAAUGGGUCAGCGACUUAUAUUCUGUAGCAAGGUUAACCGUAUAGGGGAGCCGCAGGGAAACCGAGUCUUAACUGGGCGUUAAGUUGCAGGGUAUAGACCCGAAACCCGGUGAUCUAGCCAUGGGCAGGUUGAAGGUUGGGUAACACUAACUGGAGGACCGAACCGACUAAUGUUGAAAAAUUAGCGGAUGACUUGUGGCUGGGGGGGAAAGGCCAAUCAAACCGGGAGAUAGCUGGUUCUCCCCGAAAGCUAUUUAGGUAGCGCCUCGUGAAUUCAUCUUCGGGGUAGAGCACUGUUUCGGCUAGGGGGUCAUCCCGACUUACCAACCCGAUGCAAACUACGAAUACCGAAGAAUGUUAUCACGGGAGACACACGGCGGGUGCUAACGUCCGUCGUGAAGAGGGAAACAACCCAGACCGCCAGCUAAGGUCCCAAAGUCAUGGUUAAGUGGGAAACGAUGUGGGAAGGCACAGACAGCCAGGAUGUUGGCUUAGAAGCAGCCAUCAUUUAAAGAAAGCGUAAUAGCUCACUGGUCGAGUCGGCCUGCGCGGAAGAUGUAACGGGGCUAAACCAUGCACCGAAGCUGCGGCAGCGACACUAUGUGUUGUUGGGUAGGGGAGCGUUCUGUAAGCCUGCGAAGGUGUGCUGUGAGGCAUGCUGGAGGUAUCAGAAGUGCGAAUGCUGACAUAAGUAACGAUAAAGCGGGUGAAAAGCCCGCUCGCCGGAAGACCAAGGGUUCCUGUCCAACGUUAAUCGGGGCAGGGUGAGUCGACCCCUAAGGCGAGGCCGAAAGGCGUAGUCGAUGGGAAACAGGUUAAUAUUCCUGUACUUGGUGUUACUGCGAAGGGGGGACGGAGAAGGCUAUGUUAGCCGGGCGACGGUUGUCCCGGUUUAAGCAUGUAGGCUGGUUGUCCAGGCAAAUCCGGAUAAUCAAGGCUGAGGUGUGAUGACGAGGCACUACGGUGCUGAAGUAACAAAUGCCCUGCUUCCAGGAAAAGCCUCUAAGCAUCAGGUAACAUCAAAUCGUACCCCAAACCGACACAGGUGGUCAGGUAGAGAAUACCAAGGCGCUUGAGAGAACUCGGGUGAAGGAACUAGGCAAAAUGGUGCCGUAACUUCGGGAGAAGGCACGCUGGUGUGUAGGUGAAGCCCCUGCGGGUGGAGCUGAGACCAGUCGAAGAUACCAGCUGGCUGCAACUGUUUAUUAAAAACACAGCACUGUGCAAACACGAAAGUGGACGUAUACGGUGUGACGCCUGCCCGGUGCCGGAAGGUUAAUUGAUGGGGUUAUCCGUAAGGAGAAGCUCUUGAUCGAAGCCCCGGUAAACGGCGGCCGUAACUAUAACGGUCCUAAGGUAGCGAAAUUCCUUGUCGGGUAAGUUCCGACCUGCACGAAUGGCGUAAUGAUGGCCAGGCUGUCUCCACCCGAGACUCAGUGAAAUUGAACUCGCUGUGAAGAUGCAGUGUACCCGCGGCAAGACGGAAAGACCCCGUGAACCUUUACUAUAGCUUGACACUGAACAUUGAGCCUUGAUGUGUAGGAUAGGUGGGAGGCUUUGAAGCGUGGACGCCAGUCUGCGUGGAGCCAACCUUGAAAUACCACCCUUUAAUGUUUGAUGUUCUAACGUUGGCCCCUUACCGGGGUUGCGGACAGUGUCUGGUGGGUAGUUUGACUGGGGCGGUCUCCUCCCAAAGCGUAACGGAGGAGCACGAAGGUUAGCUAAUCCUGGUCGGACAUCAGGAGGUUAGUGCAAUGGCAUAAGCUAGCUUGACUGCGAGCGUGACGGCGCGAGCAGGUGCGAAAGCAGGUCAUAGUGAUCCGGUGGUUCUGAAUGGAAGGGCCAUCGCUCAACGGAUAAAAGGUACUCCGGGGAUAACAGGCUGAUACCGCCCAAGAGUUCAUAUCGACGGCGGUGUUUGGCACCUCGAUGUCGGCUCAUCACAUCCUGGGGCUGAAGUAGGUCCCAAGGGUAUGGCUGUUCGCCAUUUAAAGUGGUACGCGAGCUGGGUUUAGAACGUCGUGAGACAGUUCGGUCCCUAUCUGCCGUGGGCGCUGGAGAAUUGAGGGGGGCUGCUCCUAGUACGAGAGGACCGGAGUGGACGCAUCACUGGUGUUCGGGUUGUCAUGCCAAUGGCACUGCCCGGUAGCUAAAUGCGGAAGAGAUAAGUGCUGAAAGCAUCUAAGCACGAAACUUGCCCCGAGAUGAGUUCUCCCUGAGACUAUAAGUCUCCUGAAGGAACGUUAAAGACGAUGACGUUGAUAGGCCGGGUGUGUAAGCGCAGCGAUGCGUUGAGCUAACCGGUACUAAUGAACCGUGAGGCUUAACCUUACAACGCCGAAG
rnacentral:rRNA from 1 species